GACGAACCGUGCGACCGUUAUUCGGAAUCACUGGGCUUAAAGGGCGCGUAGGCGGGCCUGUUAGUCAGGGGUGAAAUCCCACGGCCCAACCGUGGAAGUGCCUCUGAUACUGCGGGCCUCGAGGGAGGUAGGGGCGUGCGGAACUCAGGGUGGAGCGGUGAAAUGCGUAGAUAUCCUGAGGAACACCGGUGGCGAAAGCGGCGCGCUGGACCUCUUCUGACGCUGAGGCGCGAAAGCCAGGGGAGCAAACAGG
rnacentral:rRNA from 1 species